GCGUGGGUAGUAUAAUGGUUAUUAUCUCGGUUUCCCAUACCGAGGAACCGGGUUCGAUUCCCGGCCCUCGCA
rnacentral:tRNA from 1 species